rnacentral:rRNA from 1 species
GAUGAACGCUGGCGGCGUGCCUAAUACAUGCAAGUCGAGCGAACAGAUCAUGAGCUUGCUCCUCUCACGUUAGCGGCGGACGUGUGAGUAACACGUGGAUAACCUACCUAUAAGACUGGUAUAACUUCGGGAAACCGGAUCUAAUACCAUAUAAUAUAUUGAACCGCAUGGGUCAAUGGAGAAAGACGGUUUUUCUGGCACUUAUAGCUGGUUCCGCGCCGGAUUAGCUAGUUGUUACGGUAACGGGUUAUCAAGGCAACGAUGCGUAGACGACCUGAGAGGGUGAUAGGCCACACUGGAACUGAGCCGGCGUCCAGAGUACUACGGGAGGGAGCAGUAGGGUAUGGUCGGCAAAGGGCGAAAGUAUGACGGAGCAACGGCGCGUGAGUGGUGACGGUCUUGGGAUCGUAAAGAUGUGUUAUGAGGUAAGAACAAAUGUGGAAGGAAAUAUGGCCGUCUUGACGGUAACUAAUCAGAAAGCAACGGCUAACUACGUG